rnacentral:tRNA from 1 species
GGGGUUGUGGCUCAGUGGUAGAGUGUUUACCUAGCAUGCAUGAGGCACUGGGUUCAAUCCUCAGCACCACA